rnacentral:rRNA from 1 species
AACUGUGGUAAUUCUAGAGCUAAUACACGCACCAAGCUCUGACCGCAAGGGAUGAGCGCAUUUAUUAGAACAAAAACCAAUCAGACUCUGUCUGUCUUUGGUGGAUCUGAAUAACUCAGCUGAUCGCAUGGUCUCGUACCAGCGACGUAUCUUCCAAGUGUCUGCCUUAUCAACUUUUGAUGGUAGUUUAUGCGACUACCAUGGUUGUAACGGGUAACGGAGAAUAAGGGUUCGACUCCGGAGAGGGAGCCUGAGAAACGGCUACCACAUCCAAGGAAGGCAGCAGGCGCGCAAAUUACCCAAUCUCAGAACGAGGAGGUAGUGACGAAAAAUAACGAGACGGUUCUCUAUGAGGCCCGUUAUCGGAAUGAGUACAAUUCAAACCCUUUAACGAGGAUCUACGAGAGGGCAAGUCUGGUGCCAGCAGCCGCGGUAAUUCCAGCUCUCGAAGUGUAUAUCAUUGUUGUUGCGGUUAAAAAGCUCGUAGUUGGAUCUGCGUCUUUGGAGUCGGUCUUCCCAACGGGUUAGCACUGACAUCCUGGACUAAUUUGGCUGGUUUUGUCUUGGUGCCCUUUACCGGGUGCCUUGGCUGACUAGCA